AGAGCCACAUCUUCCAACAUAUUGCAGUAUUCUGUGUGUUGUAUUACACAUUAAUUACUUGUGUAAAUGUCAGCUUGCACCGUCUGUGCCAGUUGUGUUGAGAGCUUGAGAUGGACAGAGUUCACUUGGAAGUAGAAGUUUUUGCAUGGGGCUACUUGCUAAAUAGUCAAGAGCUUCACCCUGAGGGAACCUAUGCGCUGGAGUCUGCAACCAAACAAAUACAUGCAGCUCUCUGUUCAUGUAUUUGAUCAUUCUUACAGGCAAUCUGCAGGCAGCCUGCACUAAGCAGUCUGAGUCUCAGAGCUUGAAUCUGAAAUUUACUCUGUUCUUGACUGACAGACUCUCACCGAUGUGAGGGAACCAAAGUGUUAGGUAACAGUUGACAUGAACCUUUAUCCCGCCCCUCAUUUCCAAAAGGGCUACAACUCUACUUACAGGACAAAUAAGCAGGUGCAAGCACUGAGGGUGAUGAAGAGGCAGGCCUUGCCCUAAGAUGAACUCAAUGUCAAGCCAGAGGAGUGGAACAUCUUCAGAGUUCUGAUGCAGGUUCCCUUCAAUUCUGCAGGCCUUCCCUGGUAAAGUACAACAGUCUGGACAUCUCAACCAAGCUCAUCCAGUCUGGACAUCUCAACCAAGCCUGCUGUAAUGACGCUAUUAUUAUUAUUAUUAUCAUUAUCAUUACACUUUUCGGUCGCGUGUUUUUGUGUUUGUGUGGGACUUCGGCAGGGCAGAACAUCGCCGGAACAGAGAGCCAGGGAGGAGGAAGAUUGUCGA